GCCCGAAUCGCGCAGUGGUAGUGCACACGCUUGGAAAGCGUGGUCCUUUGGACUCCCAGGUUCAAUUCCUGGUUCGGGCG
rnacentral:tRNA from 1 species